GAUCUUCUGACACUGAAUUCCCUCAGUUUUGAUUGGUCUAAGAAAGUCUUCAUUUUUCUGUUUUGAGGAAUACAUUUUCCUGGCUAUAAAAUUCAAGAUUGAUGAUCUUCCUUUCAACACUCUAAAAUAUUCCACCCACUUCUUCCUUUCAUGGUUUCUGGUCAGGAUGGGAAGAUGUGCCUGGGCUUCCACAGUGCCUCUGUGAAAGAAAAACUGAGACAAAAAAGAAAAACUGAGACGUUUCCUCCAAGACAUUCCUGCUCUCAGAAGGGGAAGGAGAGGAUGAUAACUCCCAUCUCCAGGUCCAUUUAUGAGACCAUUCUGAGAUUUGCAGUUUGUGAAGCAUAUGGAAGGACUUUGCAAACUGCAGACAGCGGACAUGGGAACUCUUCAUCUUCCAGGCUGGACCUGUGGUCCUUUAGAAGGAAGGUCAAGAGGAUGGCAAACCACGGAUACGAAGACCCUCAUUCUCUCAAAUAUUGACAUGGGCUCAAUUUACAAGCAGAUUAAAAUGUUAAGAGACAAUAAAGAGGAAUAUAAUUAUUAACUGUGUGCCAAAGCCUUUUCCAUAGCCUUUUCCUAUCAUCCUCAUUUUAUAGAUGAUGAAAGUAGAGCUACAAAAGGUUAACCUAUCAGCUUGAGACCACAAAACUAGCAAGACAAGAAGGUUUUACAUUUAGGUCAUUAUAACUCCUAAGUUCCACCCCACCCCAUUCCAUAAUAUUAGAAGGAGCUGACACUCUUGACUGGUUCCUACCUGCUAAGCACCCUGUUAGGCACUCUGCAAGCCUCGCCUCCCUUAAUCUUCAUGCCACUCCUGCAGAAACCACUCGCAUCUUCAUGCAAGGCGAGAGUACUGACAGAGCUACGCAGUCCACAGGGAGCAGCCUUUGCUCAUGGCUGGCCCGCCCUUUAGCACUGAUUCCCCUAAAGAAGGGAUGGCUGUGCUUCUGAGGAAAGGCUGCUGAGGGCGUGGGUGCCUUUGCUGAGGUCUCUAAGCUUUACCUGCUACUUCUCCCCCAGGGGAGGGUUGGCCCCGAGGUCUGGCGUGGGAACUGGGGCUUCAGUGCUUUCAUUCCUCCCCAUGGGGCUCUUCCCUGUUUCCCUGGCUCUGCUGUC